CCCUUAGAUGUUCUGGGCUGCACGCGCGCUACACUGAUGCACUCAACGAGUUUACGACCUUGCCCGAUAGGGUUGGGUAAUCUUUUUAAAAUGCAUCGUGAUUGGGAUAGAUUAUUGCAAUUAUUAAUCUUCAACGAGGAAUUCCUAGUAAGCGCGAGUCAUCAGCUCGUGCUGAUUACGUCCCUGCCCUUUGUACACACCGCCCGUCGCUCCUACCGAUUGAGUGCUCAGGUGAAUAAUUCGGACUGCAGCAAUGUUUGGAUCCCGAACGUUGCAGCGGAAAGUUUAGUGAACCUUAUCACUUAGAGGAAGGAGAAGUCGUAACA
rnacentral:rRNA from 1 species